AAAUACCUCACUGGAGAGAGACAGCCUCGACCGAGCGCGGCCUGGGCGGGUCCACCGAAGGGGCAAGGGCGGGUGGUUGCGGCCAAGCGGCCGCAACGCACAGGCACCGAAUCUCUCAGGUAAAGCGGACAGGGAGGACCGU
rnacentral:ncRNA from 2 species